rnacentral:tRNA from 1 species
GCUCUCAAAGGAUAAUAGUUUAUCCAUUGGUCUUAGGAACCAAAGACUCUUGGUGCAAAUCCAAGUGAGAACU